UUGGAGGGCAAGUCUGGUGCCAGCAGCCGCGGUAAUUCCAGCUCCAAUAGCGUAUAUUAAAGUUGUUGCAGUUAAAAAGCUCGUAGUUGAACUUCGGAAUCAAUGGAUUGGUCAUGCCGUUGGUAUGUACUGGUCAUAUUGGUUCUCACCUUCUAAGGAACCAUAAUGUCAUUCAUUUGAUGUUUUGGGGAAUUAGGACUGUUACCUUGAAAAAAUUAGAGUGUUUAAAGCAGGCUAACGCUUGAAUACAUUAGCAUGGAAUAACGGAAUAGGACGUUUGAUUCUAUUUUGUUGGUUUCUAGGAUCGACGUAAUGAUUAAUAGGGAUAGUUGGGGGCAUUAGUAUUCAAUUGUCAGAGGUGAAAUUCUUGGAUUUAUUGAAGACUAACUACUGCGAAAGCAUUUGCCAAGGAUGUUUUCAUUAAUCAAGAACGAAAGUUAGGGGAUCGAAGACGAUCAGAUACCGUCGUAGUCUUAACCAUAAACUAUGCCGACUAGGGAUCGGAUGAUGUUAAUUUUUUAAUGACUCAUUCGGCGCCUUACGGGAAAC
rnacentral:rRNA from 1 species